UGGGGAAUAUUGGACAAUGGGCGCAAGCCUGAUCCAGCAACGCCGCGUGGAGGACGAAGGCCUUAGGGUCGUAAACUCCUGUCAGUAGGGACGAAAAAGUAGGGUCGAACAGGCCCUGCCAUUGACGGUACCUGCAGAGGAAGCCCCGGCUAACUCCGUGCCAGCAGCCGCGGUAAUACGGAGGGGGCAAGCGUUAUUCGGAUUUACUGGGCGUAAAGGGCGUGUAGGCGGCUUGAUAGGUCAAAAGGUGAAAGCCCUCGGCUCAACCGAGGAACUGCCUUUGAAACCAUCUGGCUCGAGGCCGGGAGGGGGUAGUGGAAGUUCCUGGUGUAGCGGUGAAAUGCGUAGAUAUCAGGAGGAACACCGGUGGCGAAGGCGGCUACCUGGACCGGUUCUGACGCUGAGGCGCG
rnacentral:rRNA from 1 species